UCCGAGUUGACCCCGGCAGUCUCCUAUGAGUCCCCGACAUUACUCGCUGGCAACUAAGGACAGGGGUUGCGCUCGUUGCGGGACUUAACCCAACAUCUCACGACACGAGCUGACGACGGCCAUGCACCACCUGUGCACAGGCCCCGAAGGGCUGCCGGGUUUCCCCGACAUUCCUGUGCAUGUCAAGCCCAGGUAAGGUUCUUCGCGUUGCGUCGAAUUAAACCACAUGCUCCGCUGCUUGUGCGGGCCCCCGGCAAUUCCUUUGAGUUUUAGCCUUGCGGCCGUACUCCCCAGGCGGGGCGCUUAAUGCGUUAGCUACGGCACGGACCCCGUGGAAGGGAACCCACACCUAGCGCCCAACGUUUACGGCAUGGACUAC
rnacentral:misc_RNA from 1 species